AUACUUACCUGGACGGGGUGAAUGGGCGAUCAGGAAGGCCCAUGGCCUGGGUUGGUGAUUUCCAUUGCACAUGGGAGAGUGCCUGCCUAAGAUCUGUCCAAGUGACAGAGUCUGCGUCGUAAUUUGUGACCGUGGGGGCCAGCGUUCGCGCGGUCCCUAU